rnacentral:rRNA from 1 species
GCUCCCGGAUGUUAGCGGCGGACGGGUGAGUAACACGUGGGUAACCUGCCUGUAAGACUGGGAUAACUCCGGGAAACCGGAGCUAAUACCGGAUAGUUCCUUGAACCGCAUGGUUCAAGGAUGAAAGACGGUUUCGGCUGUCACUUACAGAUGGACCCGCGGCGCAUUAGCUAGUUGGUGGGGUAAUGGCUCACCAAGGCGACGAUGCGUAGCCGACCUGAGAGGGUGAUCGGCCACACUGGGACUGAGACACGGCCCAGACUCCUACGGGAGGCAGCAGUAGGGAAUCUUCCGCAAUGGACGAAAGUCUGACGGAGCAACGCCGCGUGAGUGAUGAAGGUUUUCGGAUCGUAAAGCUCUGUUGUUAGGGAAGAACAAGUGCGAGAGUAACUGCUCGCACCUUGACGGUACCUAACCAGAAAGCCACGGCUAACUACGUGCCAGCAGCCGCGGUAAUACGUAGGUGGCAAGCGUUGUCCGGAAUUAUUGGGCGUAAAGGGCUCGCAGGCGGUUUCUUAAGUCUGAUGUGAAAGCCCCCGGCUCAACCGGGGAGGGUCAUUGGAAACUGGGAAACUUGAGUGCAGAAGAGGAGAGUGGAAUUCCACGUGUAGCGGUGAAAUGCGUAGAGAUGUGGAGGAACACCAGUGGCGAAGGCGACUCUCUGGUCUGUAACUGACGCUGAGGAGCGAAAGCGUGGGGAGCGAACAGGAUUAGAUACCCUGGUAGUCCACGCCGUAAACGAUGAGUGCUAAGUGUUAGGGGGUUUCCGCCUCUUAGUGCUGCAGCUAACGCAUUAAAGCACUCCGCCUGGGGAGUACGGUCGCAAGACUGAAACUCAAAAGGAAUUGAC